ACAGUUUUCUUCUCAUAUUCCUUGCCUCCUGUUAUUUUGCAUGUACUAAAAUAUAAAUGUAUUUAUUAAAGAUUGAGCACCUGCCUGGGUCUGGUGCAUGCAUAAAUACCAUUGAAUUUCAUCUUCACAGUAAUUCUACAAGUUUGGAUUUAUCAUUGGUAUUCAGAGGCAGGUGUCUUGGACAUAAUGGAGUCUAAGGAGUGAAUGGAUGAGUGAUCCCAGCUAUCGGCAGGACCCUCAUCCCCCGUUACUUUAGCACUGUGUUUGAAGGAGGGGUGACCGACCUGUAUUACAUUCUCAAACACUCGAAAGAGUCAUACCACAACUCAUCCAUCACGGUGGACUGCGACCAGUGUACCAUGGUCACCCAGCACGGGAAGCCCAUGUUUACCAAGGUAUGUACAGAAGGCAGACUGAUCUUGGAGUUCACCUUUGAUGAUCUCAUGAGAAUAAAAACAUGGCACUUUACCAUUAGACAAUACCGAGAGUUAGUCCCGAGAAGCAUCCUAGCCAUGCAUGCACAAGAUCCUCAGGUCCUGGAUCAGCUGUCCAAAAACAUCACCAGGAUGGGGCU
rnacentral:sRNA from 1 species